AGGAGCAAUAGACCAGCCACCCCAAAUUCUGUUCUUGGCAUUCUCUGAAUGUCAUCCUGCUGCAGGGAGGGCCCUGGGUGGGGCCGACCUCUCAGAUCAAAGACCGUGGGACCCAGGAACCGUCCCUCCCCCAUCACAGGGAUGCACGGGGAUGUGCCAGCCUCAGCCACAGGACGCUGGACCCUAGGGACUGAUGGGCUCUAUCGCUGAAGCAACCAGGAGCAUGUGGGCCCUAAUCAUUCAGAGCCUCGUCUCACAUGAACAUUGAGGUGGCGUCCAAAUGGGACCUGCAUCCCUCCCAUAGCUGCCUUUGUCCCCAGGGUGACAGACCUGUCUAGCCAAUGACAGAAGAACCAGGAGAAAGCAUGGUCCCCAGAAGAACCUAAGGAGGGGUGAGCUUCAGUGUCAACACUGGCAGGAGACCACAGAAUGGGGCCAAAGAAGUGGAUCUGCAAGGCCAUGGGGGUCCUUCCAGAGGAGGCUUUCACAAAGAGCAGAGAAAUCCCCGAAGGCUCAAAAGUUGGUCUCUUAUCAAAAAUACCUGCCCGCCCAAGGACGGCCUCCAAGUUACAGAAGACAAAUCCAACCUCCUUGUCUGCCGACACUUUGCCAAAAAGGGCCACUGUCGAUAUGAGGACCUCCGUGCCUUCUACCACCCAGGCGUCAGUGGACCUCCUCUGUGAGACCGUGCCUUCCCAUCCAGGCUGGAAGGGGCCCUCUGACCCUGCGGCCAUAUAUUUCCCUGUGGCCCUGUGACGGCUACUGUGAGGCUGUUCCACCCACCACCCUCAGUCAGUGACACCCACCUCCCCCAUUUGGGGUCCAGAGUUGUGUUUCAUCACGUGCCCAGAAUGUGGGCUUUCUUCCAAUCCAGCCUCCAGAGACUCGCCUUCAGGACCCCACCUUUGCUCUCUUCAACUGCCUCCUGGAUCCUCUUCCCCUUCGCCGAUUGACCACUGAACAGGAAACCUCUCUGGUUCUGUUUCUUUCUUUCUUUUUAUUUUUUUUUAAAGAUUUUAUUUAUUUAUUCAUAGAGACAUAGAGAGAGAGAGAGGCAGACACACAGGCAGAGGGAGAAGCAGGCUCCAUGCAGGGAGCCCGACGUGGGACUCGAUCCAGGGUCUCCAGGAUCACACCCUGGGCUGAAGGUGGCGCUAAACUGCUGCGCCACCGGGGCUGCCCUCUGGUGCUGUAUCUUGUGCAUCUGUCCACCCAGCCCUCGGUACUGCCCCCAGUACUGCCCUCCAUUCCUAAGAGCCCUGGAGCAGUUUCCUACCAUUCCCUUCUUCUAGCUGCUUGUUUUAAGUCCUCUUUAUGUAACAAAUCCUACCCCCAAAGUUGCCAGUUGCUCCGUGAAACUCACCAGGUUGACCUGGGGUCAAGGACGGAUGACUGGUGCAGAGUCACUCCCUGAAAGGCCACUCUCCCUGCUUUUGGGUGUUGUAGAUCCUGCGUCAGUAGCAUGGUCCCCACCGCUCUGGUCUGGGAUCACUGCUUUGUGAAACCAUGCAUCCCCUCGUACGUAGCCUCUCUCGGUGUCCGUGGCAUCAUUAUGACUUCCCAACACUGGAGUAAGUUUUCCUGCCAAAAUGAGUGAGGCUCUUGAUACCCUCUAGACUUUCCACACCUCCCAACAUGGGAGAAUUGUGAAACUUUCCGCAAGACUGCCUCCCUGGUCUCCCCAUCCUCCUGGUGUCGGUUUUUUGGGGUUUGACACAAGCCUAUGAGAUGUCCUUUAAAGCCUCUUACGGGCUAUCCUAUCUCCUCUCCAGGCCACUUUAGUUAGAGUAUGUCAUUGCGAGGCCACCAGCCCUUUCGUCUGAAUUCUGUGAAUCUCCACCCAGCCUACCCUUGGGAACCUGGACAGUACUGUCGCCCUCAUCUAAUCUUCUUCCCUACAUCCCUGGCACUGGUUGUUUUCUGUGAAAACGACAGUGAACAGGUUCAGUUUUGCACUGGCCCUGAGGAAAUGGGUCAGGAGUUGUGUGGGCAAGGGGGAAGGAUGAGAGCCGUUGGAGAACUGAGAAUGAAUUUUUUUUCUUUUUAACAUUUUUUUAUGUUAGUAAUAAAUGCAGUGGAAACAAACGAACA
rnacentral:lncRNA from 12 species